AUUGAACGCUGGCGGCAGGCCUAACACAUGCAAGUCGAGCGGAUGAAGGGAGCUUGCUCCUGGAUUCAGCGGCGGACGGGUGAGUAAUGCCUAGGAAUCUGCCUGGUAGUGGGGGAUAACGUCCGGAAACGGGCGCUAAUACCGCAUACGUCCUGAGGGAGAAAGUGGGGGUUCUUCGGACCUCACCCUAUAAAAUAACCCUAGGUCGGAUUAGCUAGUUGGUGGGGUAAAGGCCUACCAAGCCGACGAUCCGUAACUGGUCUGAGAGGAUGAUCAGUCACACUGGAACUGAGACACGGUCCAGACUCCUACGGGAGGCAGCAGUGGGGAAUAUUGGACAAAGGGCGAAAGCCUGAUCCAGCCAUGCCGCGUGUGUGAAGAAGGUCUUCGGAUUGUAAAGCACUUUAAGUUGGGAGGAAGGGCAGUAAGUUAAUACCUUGCUGUUUUGACGUUACCAACAGAAUAAGCACCGGCUAACUUCGUG
rnacentral:rRNA from 1 species